UCAGACGAUGCGUCAUGCAUAUCAAUAAGCGGAGGAAAAGAAACUAACAAGGAUUCCCCUAGUAACGGCGAGUGAAGCGGGAAGAGCUCAAAUUUGAAAUCUUAAAGGGUUUCCCUUUACGAAUUGUAGUUUAAAGAAGUGUUUUCUGUUGAGGUUUUGGUAAAAGUUCUUUGGAAUAGGACAUCAUAGAGGGUGAGAAUCCCGUAUUUGACCUUUACUUUCAACUUUGUGAUACACUUUCAAAGAGUCGGAUUGUUUGGGAAUGCAGUCCAAAAUGGGUGGUAAAUUUCAUCUAAAGCUAAAUAUUGGCGAGAGACCGAUAGCGAACAAGUACCGUGAGGGAAAGAUGAAAAGAACUUUGAAAAGAGAGUUAAACAGUACGUGAAAUUGUCAAAAGGGAAGCGUUUGACACCAGUGUUGUUUUUCUGAAAAUCAAUUAAAGAACUGUUUAUGCUAAGUUGUUUAGACUUUAUCAGCUAACUGUUUAGUCUUGAGCUUUUCUUUAAUGCACUUUUCAGUUAACAAGUCAACAUCAAUUUCUUUUGCUGUAAAAAAGCUUGAGGAAGGUGGCUUGAGAUUCGUCUUAAGUGUUUAUAGCCUCUUGCCUAUGCAGUCGGAGAGAUUGAGGUCUGCAGCGUAGAUCCUUCGGGGCUAAAUGCAUUUGUGCUAAGUUAUAGCAUUUUAUAGACAACUUGUUGACUAUGAUUUGUCUUGUAGCUUACUCGCUUAUGUUAUUUUACCUACGCUUAGGAUGUUGACACACGCGCGUGCUCG
rnacentral:rRNA from 1 species